GAUUACUGUUGCAACUGCUAGACCUCACACCAGAAAAUCCAAGAACAACAUCUGUUCUUCAAGAGAACAGGUGGAAUCCAGUCAAGUUCGUCGAUUUGCUGCUCAACAAAGCUAUGAUUGCACGAAUAGCAGUAGCAACAACAGUUGGAUUUCUCGGAUGGGCUUAUUUGGCAUUACUUAAGCCUCCCUCUCCAAAAGUUUGUGGCUCACCAGAUGGUCCUCCGGUGACUUCGCGAAGGGUCAAGCUCAACGAUGGGAGAUGUGUAGCCUACAAAGAGGGCGGCGUUGCCAAGGAGAAGGCAAAGCACAAGAUAAUUAUUAUUCAUGGCUUUGACAGUUCCAAAGACCUUAUGUUGCCGAUAUCCCAAGACUUAAUUCAAGAGCUUGAAAUAUAUGUUCUACAAUAUGAUCGUGCUGGAUAUGGAGAGAGUGAUCCACAUCCAAAGCGCUCAGUAAAGAGUGAAGCAUUUGACGUUGAGGAGCUAGCUGAUAAGUUACAACUAGGACCCAAGUUCUAUGUGGUUGGCUUGUCCAUGGGAGCGUAUUCUGCAUGGAGUUGUCUUAAGUACAUACCGAAUAGGCUGGCCGGAGUUGCCCUUGUUGUUCCGUUUGUAAAUUACUGGUGGCCAUGUUAUCCUGCUAAACUAUCAAAACAAGCCCUCCGGAAGAUGCUUCCACAAGAUCAACGGACAUUCAGAAUUGCGCAUUAUGCCCCAUGGCUGGUUCAUUGGUGGAUGAACCAAAAGUGGUUCCAUGCUUUAAGUAUGCUGGAAGGGAACAUGGCAAUAUUUUGUCCGCCAGAUCUCGAAAUGCUGAAGCAGUUAUCCUCUGCCCCGAGUCCUGGUCAGGAGAAGGUUCGACAGCAAGGCGAGUUUGAAUGUUUGUAUCGAGACCUGAUAGUUGGUUUCGGAAACUGGGACUUCUUUCCGACGGAUAUCACAAAUCCUUUUCCAGAUAACGAAGGUUCGGUCCAUCUUUGGCAAGGACACGAUGACAGAAUUAUUCCGCGUGAACUCAAUCGUUAUCUAGCAGAGAAGCUCCCAUGGAUUCAAUAUCAUGAGGUUCCUAAUGCUGGACAUUUGUUAAUGCACAAUGCUAGUUAUUGUGAAACCAUCUUGAGGAAACUUUGCACUAGUUGAACGGGAGACUUGGAGCAACAGUAAAGUAAAGUUGUCUCCGUGUGACCUAUACGUCACAUGGAAGCAAUCAAUAAUGCUUGAACCAGGGUAAGCUAUCCACAUCACAUCUGUUAUAAGGUGCGACCCUUUUCCGAGCUCUGCUAAAGUAGGAUGUUUUGUGUGCCAGACUUCCCUUUUUGCAUGUAUUUGCGGACAAGAAGGUAACUUGCAAUGUUCUUAUGAGAAAAUUGAAGUGCAUAAGCAUUUGUAAUAAAUACUAGAUAUGUGAACCUGUACCAGCACAGGUUCAAUAUAUGUUACUCUCAUUCGCAAUUGAUGUGACAUUAUAUAGUACUU
rnacentral:misc_RNA from 1 species